CCUACGGGAGGCAGCAGUAGGGAAUCUUCCACAAUGGGCGAAAGCCUGAUGGAGCAACGCCGCGUGGGUGAAGAAGGUCUUCGGAUCGUAAAACCCUGUUGUUAGAGAAGAAAGUGCGUGAGAGUAACUGUUCACGUUUCGACGGUAUCUAACCAGAAAGCUACGGCUAACUACGUGCCAGCAGCCGCGAUAAUACGUAGGUGGCAAGCGUUAUCCGGAUUUAUUGGGCGUAAAGGGAACGCAGGCGGUCUUUUAAGUCUGAUGUGAAAUCCCUCGGCUUAACCGGAGUAGUGCAUUGGAAACUGGGAGACUUGAGUGCAGAAGAGGAGAGUGGAACUCCAUGUGUAGCGGUGAAAUGCGUAGAUAUAUGGAAGAACACCAGUGGCGAAAGCGGCUCUCUGGUCUGUAACUGACGCUGAGGUUCGAAAGCGUGGGUAGCAAACAGGAUUAGAUACCCGUGUAGUC
rnacentral:rRNA from 1 species